GAAAGCCUUCAACUUUCACUGUGAAGCAUGAUGUUGACUGUGGGCCUGUCUUACGUUUGCCUAUAUUACUCUGAGGAGCCUGCCCUUUUGAUACCCAUUAUGGUGAGGUUGUUUUCUGAGGUGACAUGAAGAUAUAAUGAUACAAAUGACAGAAAAGACAUCUCCAUUGAAUUUUUAAGGAAAAUGUCAUCCAAGGAUGCCUAAUUCACAAGACAUCCAUGCAGGAGAGGCUAUUCUAGAAGACUAACCAUCAGACCCAUCAGUUCAGAUGUGAAGUGGAGAUUAUCAAGUCUACUCACUACUGCAGUCAUCUCCCUGAGUGGACUGCUGGCCUGGGACAUGCUGUUCUUCACACUACUGAACAGCUGAGGCUAAAUGAAAGGAAGCCUGUAUUAAUUCCUUUCCAUGUAAACAGUACCCAAGUGUUUUACUGACUGAGGAAUGCAGUGGAAUAGAACUGCCAGUUUAUCACCAUUCCUCCAACUAAUGCACAGAUUAGAGUCCCUGGAACAAAGGUACCGUGUGCUGAUGUAAUUUAUUGUCUUUGGCACAAAAUAUUGUCUGCCGUGUUGUGAAGCAACGUAUAGCCCUGUAUUUUAUACCUUCUUGUCAUAAAAAUUGUGAGCAUAAAAAUUAAAAAACAAUAGCGUUCCAUCCAAACACACUCUCAGCCUCCAAUAAAGGCAACACAAUGCAAUCUGAAAUCCUUCCAACAGAGGGCUGUAUGUGCUUGAUUUAGAUCAAGAAAGAGAGAGAAAAUGGUUUGGAUUUAGGUUGCUAUAGUAAAUUCUGCAUUAUACUUAAAAUAGAACUGAUAAAAAUGGAGUCAGUGAAGUUGAACGGGGAAGAAGCAUCCUAAGAUGAAAUAAGAGUCUACAAUCAAGAGACUUUGGAUUUUAAAGAAGCCUUGGACUUUUUGUUGUUGUUUGAAAAUUCUAUGCAUGCAUAUCACGUGUUUUGAUCAAAUCCACCCUACUUUCAUUCCCCUUCAAUUAGUCCCCUAAUCCCCACCAAAUUCCCUCCCAAUUUCAAGUGUUGUGGUUUUUUUGUUUUUAAUUUGAACCCAAAGAGUCCACUUAGUGCUGUAAGUAUAUCCUGGAUGUAGGAUCAUCUGCCGGAGCACGAACUGUUUCUCAGUAGUUGUGUACCUAAAGAAAAACUGAUUCUCCCCAGCAGCCAUCUGUUACCAAGGGCUUCUCACCUAGGGGUGGGACUUUGUGACUACCUUGCUCCUCCAUGCUGGGAUUAUGUCUGUUUUAAUCUUGGGCAGGUUCUGUGUAUGCUGUCAUAGCUGCUGGGGCUUCAUAUGUGCAACUGUCCUGUUCAAAUCCACUGUACUCUUGUAGUCAUCCCCUACUUCUGGCUCUGAUCAUCAUGUUUGCCCUCUUUCAGCAAUGAUGCCUGAGCCUUGGGAGGAUAGGGAGUGACAUAAAUGUCCCAUGCUGAGCUGGGCAAUCACUUAUCCUUGCAUAUUGACCAAAUGUUAGUGUCUGUGGUAAUCUCCGUCUACUGCAGAAAGAAACUUAUCUGAUGAGUUUUGAGAGAUGUACUAAUUACUCAUUAAGACUUGGUUUAAUACAAUGUCUACUUGACUGAAUAAUAGUAGUAGGUUUUUCCCUAAGGCCUAUGAUGAAUCUAGGCACAGGUUUUUGACACUCAUAAUGGUGCCAGGCUCCAUCUUGUGGUGUGAGUCUUAAACCUAAUCAGAAAGUGGUUGGUUCCUCCCAUAACAUUUCUUCCACUGUUGCAUCAGUGGACAUUCCUUGCCAUUCUGGUCAUUGUUGAACUUGCAGGGUUCACAGUUGGACAAAUCUGGUGUUUACUUAUCUCCUCUGGUAAACACGUGCAUAGCACCUUCCUGUACUGUGAAAGCUAACAAGAAUCUCAAGUAAUUUCUCCACAUCCUGUGGCUCAAGGAUGUGCUGUUUUUAGCAAUAGGGUCUCACUGUCUCAUUCUGGGGUGUAACCAAGAGCACUGGAAAUAGCCUGUAAUGUAUGAAGCUUCAUGGGACACCACCAACCAACAAGCAAUCCAUUUCUUGCACUGGGAUUCUUAUUUGAAAGCCUUUGGUAUCUUGGAGGUGUGUUGCCCCUGUUAUUUGGAACCAUUUAAACUGGUUUUCUAUACGUAUAUAUUUUAGGAUCCAUAAGUUUUCAAAGGUCUUCAGUGUUCACUACUCCUCUCCAUGUUCUCCUCUAUGUUGUCCUCACAUCCCUUAUCCUACUCAAUCCUUUUUGUUCCACUGCCCCCAGAUGCCCUUUAUUCCACUAGUGUCCUAUCUUCCCUUCUUUACAAGCCAUUUCCAUAGCCCUUCCAUAGUUUCUUGACAUUUAUGGGUAUCUCAAUUUAAAAAUGUAUCUAAACACUCAAAGCAAGCAUCCACCUAUGAGAGAUAACACGUGAUGUUUGUCUUUACGUUUCUGGGCUACCUCUCUUAGAAUGAUUACUUUCAGAUCCAUCCAUUUACCUGAAAAUUUUUAUAAUUUUUUAAUUUUAAAAUUCAUUUAAAAUGUAAAAAAAUUGUAAUAUUUCUUUUCUGGAUGUGAAAGUACCACAUUCAUUAUUCAACCAUCAGGUUUUGGAUAACAUUUAGGCUGUUCUCAAUUUGUGACUGUUGUGGAUAGAGCAACAAUGAAUGUGAUGAGCAAAUAUCUUUAUGUUUGGAUAGAGUCCAUACAUUGGUGUAUGUCCAAGAGUGGUAUAUCUAGAUCAUGUGGUGCUCUGUUUAUAGAUUUUUGAGGAAACGCCUCAGUGAUUUUGAACAGUUUCUGUACCACUGGCACCCCCAUCAAUAGUGAAUAAUUGUUCCUCUUUCUGCACAUCCAUUGCAACAUUUGUUGUUAUUUGCUUCUUAACUUUUAAGAAAUGUUUAUUAGUUAUUUGAGAAUUUUGUACAAUGCAUUGGUCAUAUUCAUCUCUACCUCUUCUCAGAUCCGUACUUCCUCUUCCAAACCUUCCACACUUUGUCCUCUUUUUUUUUCCUUUCUUGAAUACACCAAAUGCAAUUUGUGCUACCUAUAUAUUCUUAGAUGUGUGGUCUUCCAAAUCCUUAAGAAAAACAGACCCUCCCUCUUCUAGAAGCUAUCACCUGCUAUCAGCUAUUCAGCUAGAGGCAGGACUUUGUGUCCACCUCCCCUCUCCAUGUUAGAACUUUGUUUGGCUUGACCUUGUGCACAUUUUGAUCACUCUAUAGGUAUUCUAACUAGAGUAAGAAGAAAUUUCAAAUAGACUUAAUUUGCAUUUCCCUGAUGGCUAAGUGUUUUGAACACUAAAAAUAUUUCUAGACCAUUUCUGUUUCUUCUUUUGAGAACUCUAUUUCAUAAUACCCUUAAUUAUAAGGGGGGUGUUUGUUUUCUUGACAUUUAGGCUUGUUUUUUUGUUUUGUUUUGUUUUUGAACUGUUUGUACAUUCUAUAUACUAACACACCAUCAAAUGUGUAUUUGACAAUUUUUUUUUCUUAUUUUACAGGCUUGCUGCUUCACUCCAAUAAUAGUGUCCUUUGCUGUAUAGAAGAUUUAGUUUCAUGAUGUCCCAUUUGUCGUUUGUUGGUCUUAAUUACUGUGCUAUCAGAACCCUAUUCAGAAAGUCCUUUCCUAUGCUUAUAAGUUGAAUUUUAUCUUCUACUUUCUUCUCUAUGAGAUUAAGGGUAUCAUAGACUCUGAACUUUUAGUGUUGAAAAUUUGAAAUGCUGUGAGAACUUUCCCCCCUCUAUUUAAGAUUAUAUUAGCAUGAGCUCUUGAGAUCAGACAAGAAAGUUAUGAUUUAACAGUAGUGUGUUUUGUGUCAAGUUGAAAAGGAACAGUGUCUUGACUAGCUUUACCAUCAGUCAACUUGAUACAACCUAGAGUCAUCUGGGAAGAGGACAUGCCAAUUGAAGAACUGUCUGUAUCAGAUUGGCCUGUGGACAUGUCUAUGGAGCAUUGUCUUGAUUGCUAAUUGAUGCAGGAGGCAUCAGCCCACUAUGAGUAGAACCAUUCAUAGGGAGCUGGGUCUUGGCUGUAUAGGAAAGCUAACUGAACAGAACCCAGUGAGUGAGCCAGUAAGCAAUGUUUCUUCAUGGUUUCUCCUCUGGGUUCUUGUCUUUAGGUGCCUGCCUUGAGUUCCUGACUACUGUCAAUGAUAGGUUGUGAUCUAGAAGUUUUUCUUCAGUGUUUUAUCACAACAGAAAAGCAAAGAAAAAGGCUAAUUUGCAUCAUAAUGCAUAUUUUAAUUAAUUGUUUUAAUUUUAAUUUUUUCCUUUUAUUGAAAAUAGACACUUAUUGCAUAUACUGAUUCUCUCCUUCUACUCCUCACCCUCUACUCCUCCUAGUUUCUUCCUACAUCUCCUCCCAUCUAGAUAUGAUCUCUGUCUGUCUCUCAUGAGAAAAUAAACAGGCACCAGGUGUUGGUGGCACAUGUCUUUAAUCCUAGUACUUGGGAGGCAGAAGCAUGUAGAUCAGAGUUCAAGGUCAGUCUGGUCUACAGAGUGAGUUCCAGAAUAGUCACCACUACACAGAGAAACCCUGUCUCAAAAAACAAACAAACAAAUAAAGAGCAGCAGCAGAAAGAAAAACCCAAACAGACUUCUAAGGGGAUUCAAUAAAAUAAAUAUAAUAAAAAAUAAAAUUAUUAAGAAAACAAAAACUAACACAUCAAGAGCCCAUGAGAAGGUAUGGUAAUCAGAGACCCACUCAUUUGCACACUCAGGAAUCCCAUUAAAAAUCACUAAGCUGGAAGCCAUAAUAUAAAUGCAGAUGGUCUGAUGCAGACCUAUGCAGGCCCUGUACAUACUGCUUUAGUCUCUGAGAAUUCACAUGAGUUUUGAUCAUGUGGAUUAUAGCGCCUUGUUUUCUUGGUGACUUCCAUUCCCUCUGGGUCUUACUCUCUUUCUGCCUCCUCUUCUGUGGGGUUGGUUCCCUUAGCUCUGAGGAGAGGGAUUUGAUAGAAACAUCUCAUUUAGGGCUCAGUGUUCCAAAGUAUCACUCUCUGCAUAAUGUCUGGUUGUGGGUCUCUGUGUUUGUUCCCAUCUGCUGUAGGAUGAAGCUUCUCUGAUGAUGAAUGAGCAAGGCACUGAUCUAUGAGUAUAGCAGAAUGUUAUUAGGUGUGAUUUUAUUGGUCCAUUUUAUUUAUUAUUUAUUUUUAUUUAUUUAUUUAUUUAUUUAUUUAUUUAUUUAUUUAUUUAUUUAUUUAUUUAUUUAUUUAUUUAUGUUUAGAACAGUAGUAUUUGGUUUUCCCCUAGGUCCCUGUCCCUGCGCUGUGUAGUCUCUGGUUCUUGGUAACCCAAGCAGUGUUGGGUAUGGAUUCCAUCUUGUGGAGUGGCCCUUAAAUCAAAUCAGGUAUUGAUUGGUGACUCCCACAAAGUUUGCGCCAACAUUGCACUAGCAUGUCUUGUAAGCACAGCACCAUUGUAGAUCAAAGGGUUUGUGACUGGCUUGGGAUUUUCAUUUUUCUAUAGACAAUAAGUGUAGGUUAGUAAAUCUAAGCAGCUUAAAAGAAAAAAGAAAGCAAUUCAAAAAAUAAUUGGGAGGGGCCUACACAUGUUUUUAGGUAUGGGCUUACUGAGACAUAUUAUUUAAAUAGACUAAUUUAAUCUGAAAUUCUGUAUUUGAAAAUCAAUCCUCUUGCUCUGUAAAUAUAUGAAAUUGAUUGGAACCACAAAAUCUAGGCAUCCAUUUAAUGUUUUUUAGCAACUCGACAAUACAACCAGUAUUUCUUUGUGUUCAGCACUCUUAAGAAUUCAGGCGAAGGAGGCAUCAAGAAACAAAGCUCUGAUGUUAGGAGCUCACAGUUUGCUGCUGUCGUGGGUGCAUAAACAAGAAACUCUAGUCUUCCAGCUUGUCUAUGGAGUUUCCCCCAUGGCUUCCAGUCCUUUAGCUAUUCCUGGGGGACGCCCCUUAGCUUUGUUUCCAGUAGCAGACAAUACGAUUUUGGUUCUAAUAGCACAUUUCAUUCUAUUUUAAAAGUGGGUAUAUGUAUACCCUACUAUUUUAUUGUUUAAGAAUUCCAUACAUGCAUAUAACAUAUUUUGAUUAAAUAUACCUUAUUUCCUCCCCAUCUCCUCCAACUUCAUUUGCUCUGAUUUUAAACCUAUUGAAUCUUCUUAAUGUUUAUAGAAAACUACAAGGCAAAGGCCAGAAGAAAUGUAUAUUUAUCUGUAGGACAGCUUUCCUGAAGGAAAUGACAAGCCCGGGCUGCCACCAUUGUUUCCUUUCCAGCAGCUGUCUCCAUUGUUAGCAGGGAGUGGUCUGUAUAUUUUUGCAGGUUACACUAUUACUGUAUACAGCUGUAUUUGAAUACAUGUGUGUAUAUGUGUGUGUGUAUGUGUGUGUGUAGGAUAUGUGCAUAUAUGUAUAGGAGAUAUAUACAGGUGUGUAUUUUGGUUAUGUGCAAAUAUAUGCAAAUGAAGACACAGGUACAUGCUAUUCACUUCAUGCUACAUGUGUAACCUGUCUCUAAGUGUGGUCUGUGCAUGUUCAAAUAAAACUGACUUUCUUUGGUUCCCUGCCCAAAUCAUGCUAUCCCCAAGUAAGGUUGCUUGCUUGAGGGCCUCUCUUAAGUACUUUCCCAGGCUCUCAUAGGUAUCCUGAUGCUAUCAUUCAAGGCUUGCUUUUACACCCUCUUUUUAAAAAGAGGUGUUGUGAUCAUUUCCCCAAAGCACCCUUUUUUCAGUUUCUCUAUAUCCUUUGUUUCUCUCAGGGUAUAAUCUCGAUUGCUAAGUUUCCUGCUUAUUCUUUAUGUGUUUGAUAAAUGUCUGUCUCCUUGUCUAGGAUGUAAGCUCUGUGCAAGCAAAAACCUAAUUUUGAUUGCUAUACCUCCAACACCUAGCUUUAGUGCCUAAUCUAUGGUGACUGAAGAAUGAGUCACCUGGGAAAAUGUUUGAGCAAGGUUGACAAAAGUGAAGAGUUUAACACGCAGGGUUGGGUGCACAUAAACCUGCUUCACAGUCUAAUCAGUAUGGAUGUAUAUUAUACACACAUACAUUCAUAUAUGUAUAUGUACCUAUAUACACACAUGUGUAUAAUACCUUUAUAUAUGAUAGUAUAUACUCAUAUCUUUCCAUAUGUGUGCUCAUGCAUAUAACGUAUAUACAUUUUAAAACUGUACAAUAUAUGUACACACGUAUAAAUUUCAAUCAUGUACAAGUACAUAGAAGAGUAUAAUGAACUCAUGACCUUGGUUGCUAAAAGCUUGAACAGUUGUCAGUUCAUUAUUACUUUAGUUCAAAAAUAUAAAACCUCACUUUUUAUUUUAAAGCAAAUUCCAGAUACUAUAUUAUUUUUUCUAUAAUUUAAUAAUUAUUUUAAAAAUGAAAAACUCUACUUAUCUUAUUCCACCUAAAAUUGAUCAAAAAAUCUGUAAUUUAAAUGUCUAAUAUUUAAAGGAAUGUAUUCUUAAUUUUUUGUUAGGAAAAACUUUUGCUUUUGAACAUUUUUUUCAUACCCUUCUUGCUUUGAAACUUCUGUUUAUUGUUUAGUUUCCACAUAUUAAUAAAUCCAGAGUAUUUUCUUCUUAACUUAGAUGAUUUAGCUUUCAAAGGUGAACUCCUUCCCAAGUUGCUUUGUGGAUAAAAUAGGGAAACAUCUUUUUGGUGUGUCUUUUCUUCCAUUUUUUUUAAGGGAGAACUUCCCCCGUGAAUCAUUUUAUUCCUUGCUAUCUUAGCUUGUUAGUAUGCCAUCAGAUGAUACAUUUCCUUCAAAGAGUAAAUGAUCCUGAAACUCUUGUUCUAAUUAAUAGUUCGAAUUGGUAGUGAGUCAAUAUGUAUUUUUUAAUUUUAUUUUAUCCUGAUUUGGACAGUGGCUAACAUAAUCCCCUACAAAAAUCAGGAUUUCUCCAUAAAAGCAAUCUUGAUUUAGUCAUAUAACAGUAAUUUUGCCUUCUUUUCUUGUAAGUUGCUAGAAUUGUAAUUUCUUUUCUUUCUAUAUCUUUAAGCUGAUCCAAUUUCUUAAGGCAGUUUGAGAUAAUGUUAAAUAAUUGCUUGCAUCAUGGGUUAUUAAUAAGGACACGAAACCAAUGUAAUUCUUCACAAGUUUGUAAUAUCCUGCCAGAAAGGCACAAUUUGUUGGCAGAAGGGAAAAUCUUACUGAGUUGCUGGGGAUGUGAUGUUUUUACCUGAGCCAAGUUUCUGGUUGUUAUUAAAUUAUAUGCUUGGUUUUCAUGUCAGGAUGCUAUGCUGAAAAGUAAGAGUGUUCCCAUUUGUGGUUCGCUUCUGUGGUGAAUAGGAACAUACUAAAUAACCUUUUCCAGCUAUAUCCUCUGAAUGGAUCACCAAGGUGACCAUCUUUUUUGGUUACAAGUGCUGCAUUCCCUCUAAAUAACGUUGUCACAUAUUCAUCAACCAGCCUCAGACAGGAGAUAAAGGAGAGUUGAAAAUAUCCCUGGAGACAUGGAGACUUGACUCUGAUUUUGAUGGCAUAUUACUCUGAGGAUUCACACAUUUAAUGACCUUCAAGAUAGAGAGGUCAACACGAUAAUGCAGUGUGUAUUGAUUUGGUUCAAUUCAGGAAUUGCUCAUUUAUUGCUUAUAUUUAUGUAAAUAAAGCACUAGUCUUUCAUCUUCCAAUUUCAACAUGUUACUGAAUUAUUGUGAUUAAAGAUGGAGUUGGAAUAACAUUAACAGGGCCUCUGUAUCUGUCAUAAAGUGCAAAGGAACAAUUAUGUAAAAUUAACAUACUCCUAAGGACUUGAAUAUGCCUUUCAGCAUCAGUUAUUGUAAACUCACCUCUUUUUUAUUGUCCAAGCCAGUUUCACACAAGCACUUUGACAUAUUUUCUUUUCAGUCCUAGCUUCCUUUCUGCUCCUGUUCCUUUUCUAUGACCGCACCUUUAAAUGACUAUAUGGUGAAUAUUCCUAUAAAUAGGGGUACACUAUCUUUGGAAUGGAUGAGGUUGGUAAGACUUAGCAUCAAAGGAGUUUCAAAUAAUCAUGUAUAUUAAAAAUAUUUUCAGAUAUUUAUUUUCUUCUUAAAACAGCAGUAAAAUGAUAGUAUAUAAAGUAGUAAUUAUAGUCAUAAAUUUAACAACUAAACUCCCUUUUUCCUAGGUCAUUGCUUUGCUCUUUAAGCUUGAAAUCACAUUUUGGAACCAAAUCAUAGUAGACACACAGCUAUGACCCGAAAGAUAAAUAUUCUUUUCUUUUCCUUAGUGGAGGAGGGGCAAAUUAAGCUUAUGAAUGCAAAGGAUUACUUAGUGUUUGGGCAAAGUUAUACAACAGAACAACUCUGGCCACUGAAGUGUAAGGAAACAUAUGUGUUAUAUUGAUAAUUGGUUUGAUAUUUUGGCUUUUAAUAUUGCUGGGUACAAAAAUCAUUUUUCCUAAGCAUUUCAAAUAACAAUGGGCCUCUGGUAUCUGUUUCGCCUCAUCGCUGAUCCAUUCAGUAUAAAAAUAAAUUGAGCAGUGCAUUCUGUCAGACAGCAUUUUAUGGAAAAUACAGUGUGGUUGAUAUUGUGCUCUAUUUCUUAAACUUAUCAAACUGCACCACCACAAGGAGACAUUUACCGUGGGAACAAAAGAUUCAUUUGUAAGUACUCCCUUUGGUUGCCAGGUAAGGGAUAUCCAGGAUCUGACAGGUGCAUAGUGUUUAAGGGCAUCAGUCUGGGACAAAAAAUGAGUAUAGGGAAGAUGAAAUCACUGUGUAUUGAACAGUGGGGAAGGAAAUGAUUUGUGCUGCCUGCUGGUAUAUAAAGGUAUAUUAUGCACAAUAAGAACAGCUCAGUUCCUUGGGCUUCAUGGCUUGUUCCACUCUAGAACUGAAGAUGGGUAAUAUGCAGGACACUUUCAUCUUCCAGCAUGGCAUAGGCAAUUAUUUGGUAUUGAUUUUCUGGAAGUUUUGUCUUAUAUGUCAGCAUUUUGUUAGCAAACUCCACAACAUAAUCCAAUCAAGUUGGUACAGAGAUGAGUGUGCAGAGAGAUAAACCCUCUGUCAGCCAGCCCUUUCGUGGCCUGUAGGUAGCCUCUCUACAUUAAGAAAGCUCUUGCAACUGUGCCUUUCCAUCAGGGGAAUUGCAGUCUUAGGGAAUCCCCAUGCCUGAUUGUGGCUCUCCUCACAGCAGUGCACUUUUGACCUCUGUAUUGAUUCUGUUCUCUCAUCAAGAGCGCUGAUGUAAUUCCAUGUGCUGGGAUCAUGCCGUGAUUUGCAUUUAGGAGCUGCAACUGUGCGCUGACCCCAAACCAUCUCAUCAGAAUGAAAGUGGACCAAAUGGCAGAUGCGUUUCCCCAUAAUAUUAAGGUCUAUUGUGCCAUUUGGUGGGUUUCUUUAUUGUACAUAGAAAAGGGCAUAUACCACCCGCUCUGGAUUUUUAUUUAAUUCCAAUCAGAGAUUGGGAAGUACUUUAAAAUCUAAUAGGGAUCAAAGGGGAUUUUUAUUGAUUUUCAUACCUGGGCCAAUAAGCAACUGUCCAAUCUGUUAAAGCAUUGCAAAAGAACAAAAUUGUGUUUAUAUAUGUUCAGAAAUUCCACUACAUUUAAAAUUUCUUUUAUUAUAUUAGGUUUUUUCCAGUUUUUUCUUGCUAAUACAUAACAAUCACGAAGCCAGGAUUGACUUUCUACUUAAUAUAGUAAAUAAAUACACUAUUUAGUAAUUCCUAGGAGAAAACAGCAAAUGUUAUCAGUAAACCCCAUGCAAUCUAAAUAUUGACCAUCAAAUUAAUUUUUGUUUUGUUUGUUUUCAUCUCUUCCUUUCCCCUUGUUUAGUUUUCUCCUCUUUUCAGGUACUCAGAAAGACUAGGAGAAAAUAUGUUUGUAAAUGUAAGUACCAAAAUAGAACUUCAUUGAAAAUCGGUGUAAAGCUACAAUUAUCUGUAAUAUUUUGUGCUUUCCAGACUCCCCUUUAAAUCCUAUUUGUUCUUCUUAAUUCCAAUAAUAGUAUUUACUGAAUAUUUAGGGAUGGAGUGAGAUUCUAGUUAUGAACACAUCAGAGAUAGUCCCUUAUAGAGAGAGCUAAGAGCCUAGAUGGAGAGGCAGAAAAAUGGCUGCAAAUAAGUGUGAAUAUAAUAAGGAUAGGAGUGUAUACACUUAGAGCUGUAUGUAAAAGUUAUUUUAUGUGACAUCAUCAGUAUUUGUGGGAAGUGCUGAAAAGUGCUGGGAAGUGAGACAACAAAGGUGCUCAGGGACUGAGAGUAGUAGGGGAAGCCAUUUCUCGGAAACAAAGGGAUAGGUCUGAGAUUUGUUCUGUAUAGAAAGGAGGACAUUGAGACUGUGCAGACAUGAGACCACAAAACAGGAAGACGGUUGUGUGGUGCCUGUGGUCCUUAUGCUCAUGGGAAACUGGUCCAGUAAGAUCUUCUGUGAGGACACUGCAUGAAGUUGCAUGUUGGGCCCAGACUGGUAGGAGUUUAGACAUUUAUGACACAAGGGAACAGAGGGACUGGUAGUGUUUAAUAAAUGAUUCAGGGUGAUCAGAAACCACACAAAAUUUUCCAAAUUGUCACAGGUCAGAAUUUGUAGGCUCAAACCAAUAAUCCAGAAACCUAUAUUUUAAAGGGCAUUUUCAAGUAAAUACUGUGAAGAUAAUAGACAAGAAAUAUAAAAGGAAACAGCAGAGGUUGUAGAUAGAUGUAGGAAUCACAUCAAUCAAGAGUAUUUUUUAUGAUCUUGCAGGUACUUAUUUCAUUUCAAAAGAAGAAUUGGAUCUCUUAAUGAGGAAAUAAUUUAAGUAAUAUCUGAGUGUACAAAAAUAUUGAUUAAAGAGUAUUUAUAUUUUAGACUUCAUCGAAUGUUUGUAAAUUAUAGUCUACUUUUCCUUGAGUUGUUUUCAUAGAUUCUCAAAGCAAUCAUGUGAAAAAAGGAGUUCUGGCAUCCAAGUCAGGAUGAGACUUGACUGGAAUUGACAUUCAAGUGGCGAUUGCUGAAGGUUAAUAGGUAGUAAGUGGCAAAAGUCUGAAAUGCAGGACUUCCCAUUAGGAAGCUUCUGCCCUUUUCACUAAUGUACAUAGCACUAUGUUUGAAGUUAUAAAAAUGCUUGACAAUGUUUUUUCUUUAAAUACCCAUGUAUUCCUGUAACGAGUGCUCAUUCUUUUUCUAAAACAUACUUGUUAAAAUUUCCGGGAACAUAUGUAUGUGUAUAACACAUUGAGAUUCACUUCUGAAAUCUUUGUACUAUGGCUGCUAGAGAACUGAAAGGGCUUUCAGAUGAGUGACCCUAUAUGUUUCUCAUCGGUCUAGAAGAAGCAAGAUCUAUAAAUACUUUUAUGGGUAAAAGAAAAGAUUUUUAAAAUUCUGCAUUUCUGAGAAGACAGACUAACAAGAAGGGCCGUUUGAAUACAUAGCCCUUCCAUUGAGAUGCACACCUACUGAAGCAUACUGGAAUACAAUGAAAUAAGCACCAAGUUCUUGGCUUUGGUCUUGGGAACAAGGAUUUAGAAAUUUUUGGAAAAUUCUUUAACCACUUCUAUCAUAUUUGUAUGGUAUUUUAUAAUAUACAGACUCACUUUUGUAAAUCAUAAUAGAUUCUCAUUACCAAGAUUGUUCUAAUUAGUCCUUAUUAGAAACAAUAAUUAGAUAAUAGAGUGGAUUUUUUUAAAAAACAGGUGAGGACCAGUUAUGUUUAUAACAUGUGCAUUGUUCAUCUAUUAUCUGCAGUUUAGUUGAGGCUAUGUGGUGGUUUGAAUAAAAUUGGCCCCUGUGGACCCAUAGUGAGUGGCACUAUUAGGAGGUGUGGCUUGUUGGAAUAGGUUUGGCCUUGUUGGAGGAAGUAGUCACUGGGGGCAGGCUUUGAGGUCUCAGAUGCUCUAGUCAUGCUCAGUAUGGCAGUCACUUCCUGCUGCCUGGGGAUCCAGAUGUAGAACUUUAGCUCCACUCCAGCAUCAUGUCUGCUUCUGUGCAGCCAUGUUUCCUGCCAUGCUGAUAAUGUACUCAAUCUCUGACCUGUAAGCUAGCCUCAAUUAAACGUUUUCCUUUAUAAGAGUUGCUGUAGUCAUGGUGUGUCUUCACAGAAUAGAAACCCUAACUAAGACAGAAGUUAAUACAAGGGGCUGAGGUAUUGCUAUGGUAGGCCUGACUAUGCUUUUGUUUGGAGGAAUGUGGACUUUGAGGCUUUGGAUUAGAACAGCAGUUGAACACUUUAGAUGGGGAUUAAUGGGCCAUCCUAGCAGGAGCAUGGAAAACAGUGGUGCUGAGGGUGAUUUGAACUAUAGGGGCCCAGCUCAAGAUGUUUCAGAGGAGAAGAAUGUUAGUAUGUGACCUAGAGACAAUUCCUGUGUUAUUUGGGGGGAAGAAUGUGGCUGAUUUUUUGCCCUUGUCUGAAAAAUCUGCCUGAGGCUAAAUUGAAGAGUAUUUGAUUAAUUCUCUUGGCAGAGGAGAUUUCAAAACUGAUUCUGUCGUGUGGCUAUUAGUGUUCACUCUUAUGUAAAAGAACAGGCUGACCAAGGAAAAAUACAAAAUACAAGGAGAAAAGGGGCACCAGAAAAUGGAAUAUAGAUAAAUCCUGUGUUCUAGGAGAUUUAACAGAUUUAAAAAAAAAAAAAAAGCCUGAUGUUAGAUGGAAUAAAGGAAGUGGUGACUUCAAGGCAAGACCCUUUCCAGCUAAGUUUCCAACUUGUGAAAAGGAAUUAAAGAACAACUUAGGUCCAGGCAUAGUGGCACAUACCUUUAAUUCCAGCCCUCCAGAAGCAUAGGCAGGCAGAUCUCUGAGUUCAAGGCCAGAUCAGUCUACAGAGCAAGUGCCAGGACAGCCAAGCUUAGGCAGUGAAGGAACCCAUGGAAAACAGAAAGUUAUUGAAGGUGUAAUUGAAGGAGAGGACCAUUUUCUAGGCCCAGCAGGUAGCAGAACUUAACAGCUUCAGCCAUGUGUUUCUGGUUGUAGAGUCAAGGACAGAAGGAAGGGGUUACAGAAUCUCCCUCCACCACUAAGAAGAAUUGCUGAAGCUAGGCCUCUGUCAGAGCCGUCCCUGAAUGGAGGUCCGGGGAGGUCAUUGUGUGAAGCUGUGAAGGUGAAGCUUGGAUUGCCUUGGAGACCCCCAAAUACUGGAGAUAUCAGAGCCAUAGAAUAGCUACCAAGGAAAGAUGCUAACAGGGAGUGAAACCAGCCCAAGAGAAAAAAUACAAGGCAUCCACCAAAGCUGAAAGGAGGUGGAGAUUUGAAGAAUAUGUAGACAUUAGACGUGGAGAUGCAGAGUUUAGAGUUUACCCAGCUGGUUUGGGGUCUUGCUUGGCUCCAGUAUUUCCUCACUACGCUCCCUUUCUAUCCUUUUGGAAUGGAAAUGCAUAUCCCAUGCCAUUAUAUGUUGGAACUAUGUCUUCUGUUUUUUGUUUUUAUUUUACAGAGGAUUAUAAUUUAGAGAUUGCAUGAGUCUCAGAAGAGACUUUGGACUUUUAAACAAGUUUGAGAUUGUUAUAGACUAUGGGAACUUUUGAAGUUGGACUAAAUGCAUUCUGCAUUGUGAUAUGGCUACAAGCUUAUGGGGGCCAGGGAGUAGCAUGUGGUAGUUUGAAUAAAAGUGACUCACAAAGGCCCAAAAGGAGUGGCAUUAUUAGGAAAUAUGGCCUUGUUGGAUCAGGUGUGGCCUUGUUGGAAGAAGUCACCAGGAGUGGGCUUUGAGGUCUCAGAUGCUCAAGCAUGCCUAGUGUGGCAGUCAGUUCCUACUGCCUGUGGAUCCAGAUGCAGAACUCUCAGCUCCUUUGCAGCACUAUGUCUGUCUGUGUGCCUCCAUGCUUCCUGCCAUGCUGAUACUGACUAAACCUCUGACCUGGAAGCCAGCCUCAAUUAAAUGGUUUCCUUUAUAAGAGUUGCCAUGCUUAUGUGUCUUUUCAUGGCAAUAAAAGCCUAACUAAGAUAGGCUAAUUCAUGAAAUUUGGAUUCUGAAGCAUUAGGAUUAAAACUAAGUUUUAUCUCUUCAUCAAAAGUCUGAAUUGAAGUUACUGUUUCCUUCUCUAGGCUUUGGGUUCAUACUACAACAUAGACUAAUGAUACUUACCUUGUAAAAUACUUUGGGGAAUGAAAUUAUACUAUAAACAUAUAUGAAACAAGCCACUAUAGGCCAUUUAGUCUAUUUACGUUUACUCAUUAAAGUGACAAACAUAACAAACUAGGUGUGUUCUCACAAUGACCAAAGAGUGUUGGUAGCAUGGAUCAAGAAAGAUUUAUCAGUAGUUCCUGUUAGCUAGACAUGAGCAUCCAGAUUCCAGAGUACAGGUCACCUAUAUACGGAUAAUGUGGUCUUUCCUUGCCUCUAAACCUUCAUGUUAUUCUUUGAUUAUACUUUUUAUCAGGAGGUAACAGUUUUGAGCAUCAAUAAAAUGUGGAACUUAUGAUUUCAGGCUCUAACCCUUCUUGAUUUAUGUUAAUGUCACACCUACCUAACCUACUUUGUUCAUUAACUGCCCAGAAUGUCUUCAUUAAAUCAAAGAGCACCUCUCCAUGGACAUGAUGGAACCAGCUGGAACUGGUCAGCAUGGAAGAAAGUGCUUGAAAAGAAAAUUGGCUGUAUUUAUUCUGAGGCCUAGACUUAACCUCUUCUUAUGAGCACAGAAGGAUGCUAUGAAGCUUAUCAUGCUGAAUAUAUAAACUAUAGAUACAUAGACAUUGUUUCAAUGAAGGAUAAUGUUGAAAAAUUUUAAAUUUGCAUCCUAAUUCAUACUGCCUAUUCUCAAAUGUUGACUGUACAGACAAUAUUAUCUAUGGGCCAUGUGAUAUUUGGGUAUUGGAACCAAGAAUUUUUAUGUCAGAGAAGACAAAUUUUCCUGAAUGUAUGAUUUUCACCCAUCUAUGUCACUUUCUAUCAGCUAACUUGUUUUGUUUUCAAUUUAGAAGUCUCCUUCACAUUGGUUGUAAUGUGUCUUGCUUGGAGUCAUUUACAGAGGAGAAAGUGAUCUUAAAAUUGUCUUGUUUAUCAGAAAACAUAACCUUCGACAGUCUCAAGCUUCUGCUAAGAGAUGAGGGCAAUACUUCUUGACUUCAGUUCAUUCCAAGGCUACAGAGAUGGUUUCGUUCUAUGUACUACUUCCUACCAGGAUAGAAUGCAGAAUAUUGAAAAAAUGCAGCAAACAUUUCUAAUUUUAUGCAACAUAAAAAUUCAUAUUUUUAUGAUUAAAAAUCCAUUAUUGUUAUUUUUAUUACUAUAUAAUACAUUAUUAGUAAUACAUUAUUAUUUUUAUUUUAUACAUUCCUUUUUCUUUUUUUAGUGUGUGUGUGUGUGUGUGUGUGUGUAUGUGUACUGUACAUAUGUACUUGCUCCCACAGACCAGAAGAGGACAUUAGAUACCUUCAAGCUGGAGUUACAGGCAGAUAUGAGACACCCUACAUGCAUGCUGUAGGUGAACUGAACUUAGGUCUCCCAGAAGACCAGAAAACCUCUUAACUGCUGAACUAUUUCUUCAGUCCCCAAUCUAGCAUUUAAAAUGGCAUGUUGCAGAAUGUGUUAUUUACAGGUUAUGAUAGAAGAACCUCAUUUAUUAGUGUUGCUCUUCUGUGUUGCAAACUUGCACCCAUAUGAAGGGGUUAUAUGUUGUAAUUAUCUUUAGGAGUCAACAUGCAGCUAUCUGUACAAGUACAAUGUAGAGGAAUUUAUCUGCUGAACUUUAGCAAUGAUUGACUUUGGUCUCGAUGAAUUAAAUCCUUGACAACAUUUAGCAUUUAUAAAGCAUAUUUGAACAAUUCCAUGGAGGCAUCUGAAUCAUCUGUUUCAUUAAAGAAAGCAAAAUGAAAAUGUACACUAUUUCUCAGUGCUAGCUGCAUGUCAUAGUUUGGGAAAUGAGCUCCACAGAUAGUAAAAAACACCGGAAGUCAAAGGGGUGAUGUUUAAGGCACACACUAGUGCAAAUCUUAAGUAUAGUAGGGUUCUUCCCUCUGAGAAUGUGGAUACAUUUGCUGCCCUCUCUUUCUUCAUUCUUAGGGUCGUUUGCAGGGUAUGGUUGGGGCUGGAGAGAUAACUCAGCAGUUAAGAGCAUUUGCUGCUCUUCCAGAAGGUUUGAUUCCUAGCACCCACAUGGCACCUCACAAUUGUAUAUAACUCCAUCUCCAAAAGAUCCGAGCCAUUCUGGCCUCCAUGGGUAUCAGUUACAGUUGGCGCACACACUUACAUGCAGGAAAAACAUCAUAUUUUAAGAAUUUAACAAUUUUGAGCUUGGUGUCUGGAACCAUGAAUGCCUGUCUCUUACAUCCAUGGAAGCAGUUCUAUUCCAUGGUCACCAGUGAGAUUAGAAUACAGUUAUAUCUGUUUUUGUCCCUGUAUUUUUCAAGUGAAUAGACAGAAAGGAUUUAUUCAGUACUGCAAGUCUGCUCAAAUGAACGUUACCAAGGAGUAAUUUUUCCAGGGUGACUGAUCAUGUCCAUGGAGUCUUUAGCCUAGUCUUCUGUUGCACUGUCAAUACACACAGAAAUAGAAUUUUUUUUUUUGCCAGUUAAUUUCUGCUACAUCCCUGUACAGAGACGCUAAGGUUUCAGCCCUUCCACGGUGACAGGUGAUGCAUCUGAUUGUUUGCUGAUAGUGAUUUGGAAUAUUGAUGCUUUAGAAAAAUAACUCUGUUGAACAGGCAAUCUGCACAGCUCGCAAAACACACAAAGAGCAUUGAUAUAAAUAAAGUGUCAACCGGGUGCUGCAGCUUUGUGCAGAAUCAUUUUCAAAUUUUCCUUUUUGAAUUAUUAAAUAGACCAUGUCAGAACAACUCUGAUUAUUAUCCAAUCCAUAUGCUUCAACACCAACCUUUUAUGUAAUAUCAAGCGACUGCAGUGAUCAAUUGGACCAAUCAUGAAUGUACUCUCAUUCUCGUAAGGAUUCAAGGACUUCCCAGCCCUUGCAGCCUCUUAUGCAGACAUGUAAACACCUGCUGCAUUGCUUAUAGGGAAGGCCACCCCUCUCACUGCCUUUAGGAAUGUGUGCAGGCUGUGAGUAUAUAUUUAAUUCUUUGCCAUUCAAUUUAAGUAUAAGCACGCCUUUAUGCAAUUUGAAGCCUAUUUAGGUAUGUUAGAUAUGACAUUAUUAUCCAGCUAGACCUCUCCACACACCAGGAUUGUUUACCUAACCUAUAUUGUAAAUUAAAUAUGUUGGGGCAUAUUUCUGAAAGUUGUUGUAUAAAAAGUAAGAUGCUGUCUUUUGUUCUUUAACAGCUACAGUGUCUGCUGGAAGCGGUGACACUGAUAUGCAGGCAUGUAGCCACAUGUAAUUUAUAAAGUGUGAUAAAAUGAUAAUCUCUCACCUACACUAAUAAACAGUUUAUCUAGAUAAAUAACUCUCAGAAUGAAUACUGCGGAUGCCUUUAGGGUUUUAGACAUUUAAUUAAAAUGGAACAAAAGUAUUAACUGUCAGCUUUUAGAUUUUAACAUUUUUCUUGAAAAGAAUAUCUUUUAGUCUGAGAACACAUUUGUGACAUUCACUGGGAAUAAAUGCGAGAUGCUAUUUUUCCAUCCCUCAUGAAAAUGAGGCUAAAAAUGCCUAGCAUAGAAAUCACAAGACAAAAUGGUUUCCUGUGGAUGCCGCUGUUCCCUUGGGUGGCUACCCCUAGGGUCUAGGUCUCAGAGAAGAAUUUGGUGGGCCCUGCUCUGAUAAUUGCCAGGGACUAUAGGUAGCACCCCUCCUCCCACACUUCUGCCAACAUCUUCCUGUGGCGCAAUCAUUCCCAGUGGCUGUCAAAGCAAAGGGGUUUCUUUCUUUUGCCUGAGUGUGAUUUUGAUGUUGGACACAGGGAGGCAGGGCGAUGCAAUGAGAUGCAGAGAGACCAGGCAAAGGGAAAAGCCACCGGAGGCCCAGGACAUACAUGCACACUGCCUCCUAAAAGAAGAGAGUGCAGGGGCCUUCAGGACUACCUAUUUAACCCUCAAGAUAUGCUAUGGUACCAGAGACACAUGAAACCAUGACUCCUUAUUUUAAUUUUGUCCCCCUUAAAAUUGAUUCAGAUCCUUUUUGAGCCAAUGUUUCUCCAUGUCCCCAUUCUGUAAUCAGCUCAGGCUCUUUAAGUGCAUUAAUCACACACUACAUAUAUAUGCUGUGUAUUUUAUUGUUGAAUUCUUGUCUAUUCCAUCAGAAUCAGAACAUUUUUUUUUAAAAAGGCAGAAAGGGGAACCAAUGAAUAUUCCACAAUCUUUAUUGAAAAGCAGUGGUGGAUUAGUGUUGAGAAAUUACCCAGGACAUUUGUCCACAAGUAGAUCACACAUGACAUACUCACAAAGCAUGCCAUAGUUGCUUGAAAUAUACAUGCUUCAGGGUUUCUUAUUGUCGUCUUUUUCUGUAUUUUUAAAAAAUGCAUAGCACAUUCAGUAUUCUUGUAAUGUGAUUGCAAGCCUCUGUUCUCCUGGUUUUAAUGUAUUGCCCUCUUGAGAGAGAUACAAAACAUUCUAAAAACUUAGGAAAAGUAAUAGGUAAGAAGUUACAUUUCCAAAAUCACUUCAGUGUCUAUGUAGACAUUUUAUUUUCCUAUGUGACGGCACUUUUGGAUAUAGAAAACGGAACAUUUCCUAAUGGGAGAAUGGUUGUGAUGAGCCCUAACUGGUAUGGUUUGUAAAGUAGUUUCACAGAUUUGGAACAAUGAUGUGAGUUGAAGGGGGAAAUGUGAAAUCAUAUGUUAAUGACAGAGAUGGGGUCAGAGAGGCACAAUUUGUGUCUCUGUCCAUGCACACCUGUGUCUUCUUUCACUGCACCAAGAGGCUUAUGCAACAGUGACAAUCAGAAUAAAAAUAUAACCCUGGUAAUUUCAAAUGCAACAAAAAUUUAGGCAGUCUGUUGUUAAUAAUCCAAGUUAAUAAGCACAUUGCUUGUUUAUCUUUUCCUCUAGGUACAUUUUAGCUAUCAAUGUUGAUGAAUACUAGCUCAGAGAGGUGCAUUUCAGCAUUUCAAGAUCAUUGUUAUGGGGAAAAAACAGGAAGGGAGAAUCUAUCUAUGUAUUUUCCUCUUGGGCAAUGGAAAUCCACGCAUACGAUUCCAUAGUCUUUCAGCUGUCUCCCCUCCCCCCAUCGUCUGGUCACAUUAUUCACACAAAGAACCAAUGAGCCGUUUGCCAUUACCUUAAAGUCCUAUAUUAAUGAGACAGCUACAGUUUUUAAUCAUUUCAGUUAAGUCUUGAAUAUUGUUUGCUAAUAUCAGACAUCCAUUUAAAAUGAGAACAAGUGUUUUAUUAUCUUUCUUUUGCAAAUAGCAAAUAAAAUACUGAUUUUUUUUUUCUUUCUGUAAAGUCACAUUCUCUGAAGAAAGCAUCUGAUUCUUAUGGAGUUAAUCUUAUCUCUAAAAACAUGAGUUUAUAAAAUGUGUCCCAGAGAGACACCUAGGGAGAUAAUGGCCCAAGCGUUUUGUUUUUCUUACACAGUUUUUGUUAGAAAUAAAGACACACAAAUAAUGUUGUGAGAAGAUUUCCAUCAUCUAACAACAUUGAAACCAUUUGCAGGGGCAUUGAACGUCCCCUAAAAACAAAAAAACAGUUUUUGUACUUUCUGAGACAUGAUUCUCUGAAUAAGAAAGGAGGACUUUGCUUAAUCUUUUCGUUGUGGAUUGUUUCUUUCAUUUAUUAAAAUGGCUUAGAAAAGACACUUUAAACAAUUUAACUUUUUAUUUCUGGUUAGCUAACAGCUAUUUUGUACAUAAAUCAUUCUAUUUAGGUCAACAGCAUCUUAACAAAAAUAGGAAUAUGAGAAAACUACUUUGCUUUUUAAAAAUGGCUACAUACAAGGCAGUAGAAUGUGGUACCUUUUGAAAACUGCCCAGUGACUCUUGCUAGUUUUUCUUUUUAAAUUUUUUUCUACUUGAUUAAAAAAUAUCAAGUUAUUGAAGAAUGUGAACAGCAUUAAAUUCAGAACCUUCAUAUUUAAUGAGUACACAGGAUAAGCUGUAAAAUAUUGAUUUCAGCGAAAGAGGAAGGACGUUUUAAAACAGUUUGGUCCUGUUUCCCUCAGACCAAGCUACAAUCACAAAUGAAUGUCAGGAUAAACUUCAGUAAAAAUUAAAAAAAAUGAUUCAUGUAAAACCAGACUGAAAUGACUAAUAAAGGACCCUUACGCUUCAGGAGUUGUAUUGCACCCACAAUACUGAAUGUAGUGUCUUAGAAACAGAAUCAAGAGUACAUGAUGGAUUUUCUUUGACUUGUAUUUCUCAUGUCUCGGUAGACAAUCCUUUAUCUAGGACUGUUUUCAGUGUGCACAGGAAACCACUGUAUUGACAUAUUUUAGAAUUUUGGAUCUCUUUAAAGCUCACUCCCAAUAUUUGGGAUUUUGGAUUUCAAAAUGUUAUAAUGAUAUUAUUUCAGUUGCCAAGAAGGAAAGGUCAAUCUUCAUCCACUGCAGUUACAAAGAGAGAGCGUAGAAUCAAGGCGCUUUAUUUGAACCUUGAGGUUUUAACCCAGCUCUUCACUCCCACUGUCAGCUGGAUCGCCUGAGUCCACCCUCAUAGGAAGCAAGCACCCCCCCACCAACUUCCCCAGCACUGAUGCUGAGCUAUAUCCAAGUACAGAUGUUCUUUUUCUUGAAAUCAGUCCAAUUUGACAUCUUUCUCCUUACCAUAAUGACGGGUUCCAUACAAUCUCUCAACCCAGCAGUAGAUCCUGUGACUGGGCGAGAGUGUCCAAAUUGUAAAGUAUUGAGAAGUUCUGACCUAUGUGGUUGUCCUUAGCAGAAAAUCCAUCUUCCCAAAAUAGUUGUUAAACACUUUAUUUUAGUUACUGAUUUUUUUUUAAUUACAAAAGAUAGCAACCAAAUUUAAGGAGCCAGAUUGAAAGUUCAAAUCAUCAUCCUAAAUUUGAAAGUCUGUUUUACAUAGAAUAUUGCAUUUUUUUUUACUUUAGUUUUAUCAAGUAGAGCCAAAGAAAAGUUUUUUUCUAGCAAAGUAUAUGUUCAAUUUAAUAUCAGUUUAAAUAGUAGAAAGUAAUCAUUCCCAAUCACUCACUAUAAUUUUCCUUUCUUUUUUUCAAAAUAUCAAAUAUCUUCUCUCUCAAUAUUAAGUACAUCAGUUUUCCUUGUUUCCCAACGUGGCUUAUUUUUAAGGACUGUGAAAUCCAUGUUAGCACUAUCCUGAAAAAACAUUCAAAAGUCAUUCUGGUAGAGAACCGGCAGUAAAUGAUUUUCGCUUAUUCACUAUUUUACUUACUCAUUGCUAACCAAGAAAAUGAGCUGAGUGACUGCUUGAUUCCUCUUGCCUGCAUGCUUACCCUAAAUUUUCUUUUCUUCACACACGAAGAAGCAAACACUGUCCCUGUCAAAUGAUAAAUGAGGCAGAAUUGGUGACGUGCGUGUUUGUCAACAUAAGCAAGAUCAAAUGAUUGCUCAGCAGGAGGAAGCCACAGGAAAUCCAAUGAUUUUUGACUAAUUAGCAAAAUAAUAAUAAUGUUUCUCUAAUGACUAUCUUGUACUGGGUUGUGGCCUUUUAUCAGACAUACUCCACUAUUAUAAACUAGCACUUUGAAGACAGGCUAGUGAUUUCAAUAGAAAUCAUGGACUGGGAGCAUUUCUGAGAAACGUUUGGAAGUGCCUUGCUCUCUCUUACUAGAGCAAUUGAGAUUGGAAACUCAGCCAUAGUUUUUGCUUUCCUUUUUUAAUAAUACCCAUGUGUCAUUGAAGCAAUUCUUUGAUAAGCCACAUAUAAUUUUCAGGACCAUUUAAAUUUCAAGAUCACUCUGUCUGUUCAGGGAAAGUCACAUGAGGUGUUCACAAGGAGUAAUGUUUGAAAAUAAUACACAUGAACAGCAAUCUUUUUUCAACAUGCUACUUAGGUUAUGGAGUUGAUUCCCAUCCACUGUCAGAUUUCCAUCUAUGGUUGAAGGCACAUUGGUAAGAUGUAAAUAGAAACUUGAAUUCUUUGUCCUGGAAGUGCUGCUGCUGACAUUUUCUGUGAAGUUCAUUAGUCAACCACUAUUUAUAAGAAUCACAGGAAGAAGACAGCAGGGGCCACGGUGCCUCUACUGAGCUCUGUGGAUUCUCUUGGUUGGGGUAUACUUACAGGAUUCCUUGCUCAGGACAAAGCCAUACACACCUCACUGUUCUAUGUGCCAUAUUUACACCUGAAAAAACAGAGAGCAAGGACAGGCAAACAGACUUAGAAUCAAGGCGACAUUAAAUGGGAAACAUAGGUUGUCAUGGGGCAUCUUGCUUGGGUCUGUUGAUACACACACACACACACACACACACACACACACAAACACACAAUUGUGAUCUUUUAGCUGAUGCAUAAAUUACAAUAGCAGGGUCAAUGAAUCUGUUUUCAUUUUUCAUCUCCAGAUCACCAAGGAGAUUUGCUGUUGGGUGCGUAUUACUGAUGCAUAUAGCAGAUGAUAUAAGGGUCCAAUAUUACUAUUUCCAAAUUUUACUUGUCACUGUAAAACUGUGAAGUACCUUUUCAACAUUUUUUUUUUCUGGUCCAAGGUCAUUCUGUAGCCCCUGCCCUAUGAGCAGUGAUUUUUGAUGAAAAAACUUGAGAAUGUCAAUGGCAGCCUCUUCCUUUGUCUAAGCCAGGAAAGAUGACUAAUAGGGAGAGACAGGGAAGGAGCAGAUGACAGUGGUGUUGGGGACAUGGUAAUGAGGUGAGGGGAGAGCUGUAAGCAAGACAAGGGAAGUGCUGAGGAUAUGCUAGGGUAGGUCAAGGGGUGAGAAUAGAGAUCACUUUAAUGAACCACAUGGCUGCCACCUUCUAACAGAUGCUCAGCAAUUUCUCAAAGUCUCCAUCAAGCCCAGUGAAUUUUUCUGCAGUUCUCCAGCUCUGCCUUUUCCUGAAACAUAGCCACUUAUCACACAUGGCUGGUUCAAACUGACAUGUACUUUUAAUACAGAAUAAAUGCCAGAUAUCAAGUAUAUAAUACUAAAAAGUAAUUUAAAGUGCCUCAUUAGUAAUCUUAUAUCAGUUGAAAAUGCUAAUAUCAUAGAUAUAUUGUGUCAAAAAUAGUUCAUUGGAAUUUUUUGUUGUUUACAUAAAGAAGAAAAGAAAAACUCUAUCAAAAUAAUGUAAAGUUCUAUCUGAGACUGGCUUUAACAACCACAUUUCUGAGUUUCCAUAUGAACAUUGGACUCUCACUGGCUCUGCAAGGACAACCAAAGAGUCUGUUCCAAGAGACAGUAAAGUGCUGACCACGAUCCUGUCUUCACAUACAAAGCAUCGGGUCUAGAGCCCUUUCUCCAGCUGCCUCUUUCCUGGGGCCCUUCCACUCCAGCUACCAUUGUUCUCCCUAAAAACCCCAGGGCCAUAUGUCACCUAACCAGGAGAGGUCUCUCUGCCCAGAACCUACUGUAAUUAGCGAAAGCAGCCUGUCCUGGGUCUGCUGAACCUGCUUUCUCUGUUCUCUCCAGUGAAACCCAAAUGAAAGCUCCUGUUUGUGUUCUUCUUUUGGUCCUUGGCCUACUGACUUCCCCCCAGGUCUAUCCCUGUGGCCACUUCUUUGGGAAUCUUCUCAAUGCGAUUAGCCUCCAUAUCUAUUGGUCUUGUCAUAUCUGAAUACCAAUGAAAGCCCAGGAAGAUAAAUAUCUUGUGAAAUCUAGAUGUGUGUGUGUGUGUGUGUGUGUGUGUGUGUGUGUGUGUGUGUGUGACAUGAACGCAGAAGGAGGCUGUGAGGGAGGAAGGAGCUACAAAAGGCCACGUGGAUGGGAGAGGGGAGUGGAAUGUAUGACCAUGAAAGUGGGAGGGGCCUCUGUGGAGCUCAAAAGAAAGAAAGGGCACAGGGGAGGGCGGUCGGGAAGGAUGGUGACUAAGAAAGACAUCUAAUGAGUUAUGUGUAUGAAACUCUCACAAGAAAUCUCAUUCCUUUAUAUAGUUACCAGGAAAUUACUAAUUAGUAAACACCCUACACUAUGUGGAUUCGGGUGAAUGAGGAAGUGGGGAGGAUCCUUGAGGAGUUGGGGAGGGGAAACUGUGAUCAGAAUACAUUGCAUUAAAAAGGUCUUUUUUCAAUAACAUAAAAAAAUGGAAAAAAUAAUAAUAGAAGAAACACCCUUCAUUGAAAAAAAUACAUCCUCUGUAUUCUGGGGGACAACGCUACAUUAGAGCUCUGUCUCUUCAACUGUAAUCCACAGGUCAUUUACAACAGAAUCAUUUACAGGAUUACACAUCCAGAUUCCUUGGCCUUGCUUCUGCAGCAUAGUGUUGCCUUAAUAAAUGUUAGUUGAUUGUUCUCCUUUUCAGGCCAGGAAAAUAAAGAAAUAAUUGUCAUGAACCUGGCUUGUUUCUGGCUUGAAAAGUUACCCUUUCAUCUCUUCAUCAUUUUGUUACCACAACCAGUUAAAGAACAAAUAUCAAGAAAAGUAACUUGCCUAAAGUCACAUAGCCUGCCAGCACCAAAGUAUGCAUUAAUUUUUGAAUAAUGCAUGAGUUAUGUAUUUACUUAGCACCACGAGGCACAGUACUUAUUCUGGAGGAUAAUAAAAUGUCUUUGCAUAAGAAGGAAAGAUAAGGGACAAAUGCAGUCCUGACCCAGAUCUCAGCAUUCCUCUUCCAUUCUGUCACUGCCUUUCCUAAUCAGGUGUAGUCUACCUCAGAUGUUGUGGUCACUCUUCCCCUGCCUUACUACUCAUGUGCGUUGCUUUGGUUUUGUCUAUGGGAUGUCUCUUCUAAAGAGGAAUGUGGUAAAGGCUUGGUUCCCAUCUGAUGAAUGGCAAUUGGAUUGUGAGGAUGCUAGUCCUGACUAGAUUAAUCAGUGAUGGGUUCCCUGCUGGAUGGGUUAUUAGCAGGUGAGGAAUCUGUGAAUGUGAUUUUGUGGCGUAUGUUUUAUCUUUCAGCUCUCCUUUCUUCUUCAUGGCUACUAUGAGAUAAACAGCUAAGCUCCACCAGCUGUUCCUCACCUCUGUCUGACCACAAACCCAGACAGGAUAGAAUCAAGUGGGCAAGGAUUGAUACCUUGAAGCCAGGAGCCAAAAAUGAACCCUUUCUCUCUCAAGUUGUGGUUUUUUUUUGUUUGUUUGUUUGUUUGUUUUUUUUUGGCUAUUUCAUCACAGCAAAGAAAGGCGACUAGCCCUUGCUGCAUUUGUUUUCUGCUUUCAGAAGAUGCAUGACACAAGCCAAGCAUGGUGAUGCACACCUUUUAUUCCAGCACCUGGGAGGCAAAGGCAGGUGGAUUUCUGUGAGUUCAAGACCAGCCUGGCUACAUAGUGAGUUCCAGGACAGCCAGUGUUACAUAGUGACCUUGUCUCUAUAAAAGGACAAUCAAAACAAACAGAUGCAUGACAUAGAUCUCAGACUCAACUAUCACAAAUUCUCUAAAGAUCUGCUUGCAUGGCUCUGUACUCCUCUAUGAGACCCACCUAUGAUGAUGGAGGAUGUUGCAGUCCUCUGGUUUCUACCACUGAUUGAAUCUAUUGUAUGAAUAUUUUACUUUAUGUACAUUUUCCUGUUUAACAUUGGAUUAUGUUAGGUAUUUUAUUAUUACAAACAAUGCCACUGAAAACAUCCUAUUUUUUCUCAUCCAUAAAUAUUUUAAAUGAUUGUGGGUACUUAAAAAAACUAAUAUUAAAUGACAUUUAACUAAUAUUUAAGUGAAUAUUAUACUUACAUUAAAUGACAUUUAACUAAUAUUUAAGUGAAUAUUAUACUUACAGAAACUUCCAGAAAGAAUAUAGCAUACACUUGUAUUCCUUUCAGGAGCGUCUUAUGUGACCACAGCAGCAAAACAGUCAUUGCUAGGAAAUGGGUACUGGUUUAACAUCCCUAGUCUGGAGACCUCUGGUUUUCAACCGUCUUUUUUUCUCCCAUGGAUAUCCUUUUCUUCUUAUAAGAUCUUAUCCAGGACCUCAUGCUACAUUUGGCUUCUGUUUUGGGAUGCAUACUUUGGCUCAGAAAUUUACAAGAGCAGUGAUUCAGGGAGAUUAAUUUGAAGCAGAGUAUGAAACAGAUUUCAGAGAAGAGAGCUAAAAGGAGAAAUACCAGGAGACUCUUGCUAUAUCAUGAGUGCUGGUGGCGAAGCAAGGAAGAUCCACAGCAGCGAAGAUUUCUCUCUAGACCCCACUCACCUUACAUGAGACAGACUGUAUUUCAGCCAGGAGCCUAUCUUUCUUCUAGCUGACAAGGUCCUUAAGGCCUAGGAUACAGGAGCCACUCCAUUUUAGUUGUCCUUCAGAUACUCUGAAUAGUGACUGACCGUACAAGUGAUUUGGUAAAUGUUUGUUAAAUAAAUCAAUAUGAACAAGAAAAGCAAACUGAAUGGGAAGCUAUAAGCCAUAUAAGAAAGAAUCCUUAAAGGCUCCUGGAGAUGAAAGAGAACAAAGAGAAAAAGAGAAGAGAAGAGAAAAAGCCUUAUCAGUGGACAAGCUGAGGAGACAUUCAUGACAAAAGGCAAAGGAGUAGUUGUUUAGUGGAAGCUGUGCAUGGGAUGCCAUCACAUGUCCACUGGGUUGUUCAUGUAUGUGCGCAAUGUUGUCAAUCACCUGCACUUGAAACCUGAGCUCAUGUAUUCAUUGCUAUUCCCAGUUCACUGAUCCUUCUUUAUCAUUUAUUCCCUCAUUGCGUUCCUCUUCCUCUCUGGUGCCACUAAUAACAACCCCUUGCUAUAGCAGCUGGAUUUCUUAAGAUGCCUGUGCUUGCUUCUGCUUCAGUGUCACCUGGCCUCUGGGGUGCUCAUCCCUCCAAGUUGCUUUCAGCCUCUCAGCCUUUGCAUUUAUUCUUCCUCCUUCUGUGGUUUGCAGCCCCUGGAUUUUCGUAGGGUUCGAUUAUUUUUUCUCUUUGAAGUGCUUUGCUCACUCUACCGACUGUCACUCUAUUUUGUUUCUUUUCUUCAACGGGUACCUGCAGGACUCUUCUGAAAUUUCUCAUUCAUAUCCACUCUCAACCUUUUGAUUAGUCUUGUUCCACUAUUAUGUGGCCUCCAUGAGAGAUGGGAUCUUGUCUGGGCCUCUGAAACUGUAGCACUUGACAGACUCAAGGAACAGGUAUUAAUCCUUGUGUAUAGGAUCAACAUAGUCCCAGGCGACAUAGAAGGUAGACCAUAUCUGUCUCAUAUGUCCUUGCUCUAAGUGGCUAGAUAGUCUGUGAACAGUUUGGUUACUGGGUAUUUAUUACUCAAGGAUAAAAGGAGGUAAUUUCCAUAGUUCCACCAUAAAAGAGAUGGUGAUUAAGAAAGUGACUUAUAACUGACCAGUAUGCAGAAAAUAAGAGAGUACAGAAUUCUCAACUCUAAAGGGAACAUAUAUACUGCAUCCCCCCCCCACACACACCUUGCAAGGAAAAAGAGUCAUUGUGUAAGGGGAGGCAGAAAGAGUGUAAGAGCCAAAAGUGUAGAUUACUAUAGGAAAUAUCAUCUUCCCAACAAAUCAGGACAGAUGCACACAUGCACUCACAGUGGUUUUGACAGUAUGCACAAAAUUUGUGCAAGCCCAGACUCAAUCAAAUCCUAGUAUGGAGAGGGAAGUUGGACACACUAUCCCACCCCAAACUGUGGAGCUCUUAGUAAUGUUCAGCUAGAGAGAGAGAGAGAGAGAGAGAGAGAGAGAGAGAGAGAGAGAGAGAGAGAGAGAUAGAGAUACAGUUUCUCUAAGACUGUAUGUAGUCCAUGGUAAGCUGAUCACUCUCCAGGGGAGAACAAUACAUCCAAAACAAUUUGGAUAACACAGUUUAGUCAAAAAGAUUAAUGAAUAGAUAAUUUUUAAAAAUAAACAAAGUUAGGUGGGUAGAGAAGGGAGCUUUUCUAGGAAGAGUUGGGGAAGGAGCGUUAAUUUGAUCAAAAGAGAUUAUGUGAAACUCUCAAAAAACUAAUAAAAGUAUUGAAAAAUAAUUCAAUAAGUGAGUACAGAAAUCAGGGAAAGGCAACUUCUAAAAUAUGGUAAGCUUUCAAAGGUAGCAACAGUCUUCUGGGAAUUUUAAUACAUAGUCAUUGUUGAAUGACUGCUAAAUACCAAAAACUGUUAAGAAAAAUUCCAUUCCUUUAAGAACUUUCUGCCAAGUGAAACGUAUAAGCAAUGGACUAUAAUACAGGGUGCUUAAUUAUGCAUGAGAACAGAAGGGUAGAAGAAGAUGACCUUAAACAUGAUUUAAAUAUACUUUAAAAUAUCCAAACUAUCACUCCCAGACAAUACCUGGGGGCUUCAAGUCAGUGAGUUUACUGGGCAAGUGCAGAGCUUAGCAGUAUUGGUGUAAAUUGUUGUGGUCUGUGCUGUGACUUUGUACAUGGUUUUGUUGGACAUAUUACUGAAACUUCUUUAGACACAGUGUCCUUCUUUCUCCAAAAAUAUUCUCAUAAUGAUAGUUUCCACUGAACAAAGCUCACACAUCACAAAACAGAACAAAAGGGUAUAGUGAAAUUUCUUCAGGAUAUAUUUAACAUAGGAAUCUUCUAAAUGAUACUUCUUCAACGUUUAGGAUUGGAAAAUUACCACUUCAGAAAUUUAGGAUAGGGAUUCACAAAACUCUUGGUCCCUUUCUCAUCUCUGUGGUUCCCUAUCCAUCACCCUCAUAUUGUUCCUUUGAAAUCCUGCCAAAGUGGGAAUGAAUUCAUGGUGUAAUUAGUGGAACAAAAUACUCCUGACAACUCUGAAGUAUCCUUGAACAGCUACAGAAUUCCAAAAGUAAUCCAAAAUUAAAAAUAAGGCAUAUCACGUUAGCACCCAAACACUGGUCUCUAAUACUGAUUUUUAUGAAAAUGAAUUAGGACUCUUCAAAGAAAUGUUCAUUAUAGACCAGGCAGAUAUGUAUAAGCUAAGGAAUAUAUUGGUCCUCUACAAAUUGCAGAAGAACAAGAAGAAGAAG